rnacentral:rRNA from 1 species
AUACGGAGGGUGCAAGCGUUAUUCGGAAUCACUGGGCGUAAAGGACGCGUAGGCGGGUUGGCAAGUCAGAUGUGAAAUCCUACAGCUUAACUGUAGAACUGCAUUUGAAACUGCUAACCUAGAGUAUGGGAGGGGGAGAUGGAAUUAGUGGUGUAGGGGUAAAGUCCGUAGAUAUCACUAGGAAUACCGAAAGCGAAGGCGAUCUCCUGGAACAUAACUGACGCUAAGGCGUGAAAGCGUGGGGAGCAAACAGGAUUAGAGACCCUAGUAGUCC